rnacentral:sRNA from 1 species
AACAGGAGAUUUGUUCA